AGCACUUGGUCGUCCUUCGGGACACCGAGUGACAGGUGCUGCAUGGCUGUCGUCAGCUCGUGUCGUGAGAUCGUUGGGUUAAGUCCCGUAACGAGCGCAACCCUUGUCCCUAGUUGCCAGCGGUUCGGGCGGGAACUCUAGGGAGACUGCCGGUGACAAACCGGAGGAAGGUGGGGAUGACGUCAAGUCAUCAUGGCCCUUAU
rnacentral:rRNA from 1 species